GGUCAAAGGAUUACAUGCACAACUCCCAUUAAAAGAAAACAUCUCUUGACAGGUAAGUAAAUUCCAUAAGAUGUUUCUUAAGUCGGAUCAAUUCAGUGAACUCAUUCUCUAAUGAGCACCAACUUCCUUGUAUUAGUGUCUCAUACAAGUGGCAUAUGAGAUCUGCCACUCUCUCAAUCGAGCAUACAUAGAAAGUGCUAAUCUAUCCGGAACAUUGAUCUCCUACUCAAUGCUCCUAUGACUAGGAAUAUUCUAAAUCAGGAUUUUUAGGAUUUUAGGUCUCAUAGGUAUGAUCUCAUCAUAACCCUAAAUCCAUUUUCCUGAUUUAUGGAGUUCAUCAUAAUCAUUACUAAAGUAAGAUGCAACAUAU
rnacentral:lncRNA from 1 species